UUGCCCACUCAUGUAAACCUAGUUCAUUGAGUGGCCGUGACUGAGGGGUAGAAAAAUUCUCUUUCAAACCCAGGGCAGUAGCUCCUCCUGUGCUUUGGAUCCUGUCGAGAGGGACCAGG